UAUAAGGUGCCACAAGACUCUGUACUGCAAUGGAAUCUCUCACCCCUCAUGUCUUUCUCCUGCAGACUGCAGCAACAAGACAGAGAAGAUUUUUUCUUCCCACAAGUCCAAAAUCGUGCCGGCUGUGCGUCAGGUGCAGGAUGUGCUGAUGAUGAUGGCCAGUUCUUCCAGGGAUGAGUCCAGACCAUCAGUCAGUGUCCCUACACCUGCUCCGACUGAGAGCUCCCAACUCCACACCUCUCCUCCAUCUUUCCUCGGGGUCUCAGAGCAGUGCCAGACACUUCGCUAUGAGGAUCGUCCAUGCAGAAAAGAGGCCAAUCAGCCGAGGCCCUUCUUCCCCACCCAGUCCCAACCACAUCUCCUCGCCCAGGGGCCAGAGCAACACAUGCACCCAUUCUGGCAACAGCCUCAGCAACCUCUCUAUGAGUUCUCAGGUGGCAGCAUAAAUAUCGUUGGGCCUUGCUCGGCAAUACAGAUUGGCCGCAACAACACCAUGAAAGUGACCAAGGUGCGAGUAGAGAAGAAGAAGAAGAAGAAGAAAUAA
rnacentral:lncRNA from 1 species